GUCUAUGGCCAUGCCACCUUGAACAAGCCCAGUCUUGUCUAAUCUCGGAAGCUAAGCAAAGUCGAGCCUGGUUAGUACUUGGAUGGGAAACCACCCAGGAAGACCAGGUGCUGUCGGCA
ensembl:rRNA 5S_rRNA 5S ribosomal RNA